UCCGAUAACAAAUGACACUAGCCUACUAAAUAGUUCGGGGACCCCCACAAAGGGGCCGCUAAAUUAUUGGAGGGACAGGUGGCGUUUGGCACUCGAGAUUGAGCAAUAACA
rnacentral:rRNA from 1 species